rnacentral:snRNA from 1 species
AUACAUUACUCGACCUUUGGCUAAGAUCAAGUGUAAUAUCUGUUCUUAUCAGUUUGAUAUCUGAUGAACUAAGCCUACUUGUGGGUUUAGGGGGUGAACUUAUAGGUUCACCCUGAUAUUAUUUUAUUUAAGGGGAAGGAUGGUAACUUGCUACUUGGAUUUUCUUUAGCGUCACCUUUGUUUUGCACUUCUCUGACGGUUUGGCACACCCAAC